AGUUUAACUGAUAAUGACUAGACUGUUUUCAUCUUGCCCCCAACUGCUCCGGCUUUUCUGCCUCCUUCUGCAUCAUUCUUCUGCAUACAGGCGAAUUCUGGAGGAGGCAUCGCAUCUUAAAAUUGGCUUUUCACAGAGCCGCACAGCUGCUCCGAGAGCCCCGAUGGAAGCAGUUAGAAUCUCAGCGGCGACUCUGCUGUCCACCUGGGCAGAGCCACUGGCUCGGAUCUAGUGGAGGAGACACUGGCUGUGGCCCAACCUUGACCGAGAGAGAGCUGGCGCGGGAGGGGAGCGAGCCCUCUGCACUUCUCCCUUAUUGUUAAGGGUGUUGCGUGCUCAGUUGACCCUUGGGUACGAAGUGGAGAGAAACUGGUCCCCUUUGCUCUUUCUGCCCUUUCAGUGACGUUUCCCCAAAAGCCACCAGGGGGCAGAAGAAGCCGCUUUGCUUUUUUUUUUUUUUUUAAACUUCUUAGCAUUGGUCCAUUGGGCCAAUGUUUUUGAUAGAAAACAUUUUGACAUAAUUAUAUUUAUAUCAAAUAAAUGUAUGAAUUCUA